GGCGGCAAAUGCAAAGUGAGCUGGCCAGAGGUUUGCACUUCGAUCGACAACGGUGGCCUUGGCAUCUCCAACUUACAAUGAUUCAGUCGCGCACUCAGGCUCCGAUGGCUGUGGUUCUCCUGGCUCACACCAAACAGGCCCUGGGUGGGCAUGCAGCUGCCUUGUGAUCAAGGAGACAGAGAGCUUUUCAAUGCCUCAACAAUAGUGACGCUAGGGGAUGGAAAAAUGACCAACUUCUAG
rnacentral:rRNA from 1 species